rnacentral:rRNA from 1 species
AUUGAACGCUGGCGGAAUGCUUUACACAUGCAAGUCGAACGGCAGCACGGACUUCGGUCUGGUGGCGAGUGGCGAACGGGUGAGUAACAUAUCGGAACGUAUCCAAUAAUGGGGGAUAACGAGGCGAAAGAUUCGCUAAUACCGCAUACGCCCUACGGGGGAAAGCCGGGGACCUUCGGGCCUGGCGUUAAUGGAGCGGCCGAUAUCUGAUUAGCCAGUUGGUGAGGUAAAGGCUCACCAAGGCGACGAUCAGUAGCUGGUCUGAGAGGACGACCAGCCACACUGGAACUGAGACACGGUCCAGACUCCUACGGGAGGCAGCAGUGGGGAAUUUUGGACAAUGGGCGCAAGCCUGAUCCAGCCAUUCCGCGUGAGUGGAGAAGGCCUUCGGGUUGUAAAGCUCUUUCGCAAGGGAAGAAAACUUAGCCACUAACAUUGGUUGAGGUUGACGGUACCUUGAUAAGAAGCACCGGCUAACUACGUGCCAGCCGCCGCCGUAA